AACUGAUACUACCUGCGGGAACCUGCGGAGGGAUCAUUACAGAGUUUUCUAAACUCCCAAACCUUUGUGAACUUACCACUGUUGCCUCGGCGGAAGCUAUUGGGGUUACCCUGUAGCGACCGCCGGUGGACCAACCCAACUCUUGUAAUUUUGAGAAAUCUGAGAGUCUUAUACAAAUAAGUCAAAACUUUUAGCAACGGAUCUCU
rnacentral:misc_RNA from 1 species